GUGAAUUUUGCGAUUAGCGGGAAAAUUUUUAGCUUUUCCCUCCUUCCAGUUUUCCCAGCUUUCCCAAAUACUAACUUGAUAUAUAAGUGAAUAUGUUUUAUCGGAUGUCUGUUUCUUAAAAAAAAAAAAAAGAAGAAAGAACUGAGAUGAGAGAAAAGGCAAGAACGAGCGGCGGAAGACGCUUUGCUCCUAAUCUACAUUGAGAAGAGUUGAAGAGCGGCCGAAUCUACAAGAUUGCAGAAGAAUCGAACUUGCUCAAGACGAUUGCACCGAUAUCCACCGCUAGAUCUAGAAAAGUUAUUGCACAAUUUCAAGAAUGGCCACCGCUUAUUUCUGGGCGGUUGAAUCAAGCAAUUGAUGAGAUGACCCUCUGUAGCCGUGGCUUGACUAUACAGACAAAGAGAACCAAGAAGGCUGGUAUUGUCGGGAAGUAUGGUGAAGAAGGAUUUUCUGUAACUUUGUGUUUGGGGACUGCAGAUUGUAUAGGACUGGAGCCAAAAGACAGUUUUGUAAAUUGUUGUGAAAAGAAUCUAGAUCCUACAAUAAGAUUCUCUAUUUCAUAUCACUUGUGUUCAAGACUUGACGCAUAUCGUGUCAGGCCGACAACAACAACAACAAGAGUGACCUGCAUCCGCUGCUUUGGAAAAGGGAAUCCAAACUUUUUAGGUCACUUCCUAAUGGCAAGGAGCAUGUCUUUUUCUUUGAUCCAGAUAUAUAGUAAGCUUUUCUAAUUCCAAUUAUUGUAUGAUGUUGGUUUCAAGGUUGAAACCUAUAUAAUAUAGCCAUAAUUUAAAUUGAUACUCUUUAUUUGAGGGGUGUUAGAAUUUUGUAUGUGUGCAGGCAUUGUAUAUAAAUAAUGCCAACAUGAUCUAAUGUGAUUAGUUGAGAAGUUAAACACAUUGCUGGAUUGGAUAUCUGAUUCUCAAGAUGAAUUGUCGUUCAGUAGAUUAAUUUGGAAUGUAAACUCAUUAGCUUGAAGGUGUACGUAUUGUAGGAAGAACAAGCUACAAUCUGUUUGCUUUCUAGCUUUAUCGGCUUAAUUUUGAUCAUCACAGGUAAACUGAGCUAAGUCAGCUAACUAUAUUGGCGAUAAAUCUAGUAACUUGACUGCCCAGCUGGUUCUCAACUCUAGAGAAUAUGAGAUUUUUUAUUAUUUUUUUAUUAUCAAAUAAUGGUUGGAAGUUGGCACUUGUUACAAGUAGAGAGCUCUGGUAUAUAAGCAGUUGAGGACGAGCCUAAUAUUUUUACUUACCAAAAAACAUAAUUCAGUUUUCACGUUCUCAUGUAAGUAAGCUAGUCACAAGUAAGCCACUUGCAGAAAGCUUUUGAUUCUAUAAUACUGAUACAAAAAUGAGUCAGGAUUCAGGAACAGCCAAGAAGGCCAUUGGAGGACAUGAGCUAAUACAGUACAUAUCUCACCUCUUUUUGAUACAGUACAUAUCUCACCUCUUUUUGAUACAUGUAGUUAGAUUAUUGACUGUUUUUUUUUUUUUUUGGAUUUUCACUAAAGGAACACACUAGUGCACAACAAUAUGUUACUGAGAUUGGAAAUAGAAAACGUAAAGAAAAUCCAACUGUUAGAAGUACUGGUAGUGAUAUAGCACAGAGCAAACAGAAAGAUGCAAGUGUUAGAAGUUCUUAUAAUGAGACAGAAAAUGGCAGGCCAAUUCAGCAAAGUUUUAAUGGAAAGAAGCAACAAGAUAACCCCAAAAAGGUCCAGAAGACAGGUUUGGGGAAACAAGUACAGUUGUUAAGUUGGUUUGCUAAAGAAGAAGUGGUUGUUGCAAGUGCUAGUAUUAUAUCAAAAGAUCCAGAAGUUGAGGUGCAUCAUGUGCCUCUUGGCCAUGAUUGUUGGAAAGUAUCGGUGCAUGAAGUUUUUCAUGAUAUAGCCUUGUAUCGCCCAACAAGCGAGUUUAGUAAACUUUAUGCAUCCACAGGAAGUAUGAUUGCAUGGCCUAUCAAGUACAUCAAAGUGAAUUAGGCAUUUUGGAGGUAAAAAUUGGCACCAUGCAUAGUAUGAAGAUGUUUAAAAGGUCAAACCAUGGAUCACUAUAGAUUUAUCUUUUGCAAUGAACAAAGACAAUUCUAAUCUAAGAUGCUCUCUAGUAAUCUAGAAUGUUUUCUAUUCUGGCAUCCAUUGUGAUGAUAAUUUGUUGGUAUUAAGUUGUUUCAAUUCUAUACAGUAUUGAAUUGCUAUUGGCAAUUAAUUUACAUUUAGUAAUUUCAUACUUCCAGUUUAU